rnacentral:rRNA from 1 species
UACGUAGGGCGCAAGCGUUGUCCGGAAUUAUUGGGCGUAAAGAGCUCGUAGGUGGCUUGUCGCGUCUGCCGUGAAAGCUCAUGGCUUAACUGUGGGUCUGCGGUGGAUACGGGCUGGCUAGAGGUAGGCAGGGGGCAUGCGGAAUUCCUGGUGUAGCGGUGAAAUGCGUAGAUAUCUGGAGGAACACCGGUGGCGAAGGCGGCAUCCUGGGACCGGCAUUGACGCUGAACAGCGAAAGCCAGGGGAG